GAUGAACGCUGGCGGCGUGCCUAAUACAUGCAAGUCGAGCGAACAGACGAGGAGCUUGCUCCUCUGACGUUAGCGGCGGACGGGUGAGUAACACGUGGAUAACCUACCUAUAAGACUGGGAUAACUUCGGGAAACCGGAGCUAAUACCGAAUAAUAUAUUGAACCGCAUGGUUCAAUAGUGAAAGACGGUUUUGCUGUCACUUAUAGAUGGAUCCGCGCCGCAUUAGCUAGUUGGUAAGGUAACGGCUUACCAAGGCAACGAUGCGUAGCCGACCUGAGAGGGUGAUCGGCCACACGGGAACUGAGACACGGUCCAGACUCCUACGGGAGGCAGCAGUAGGGAAUCUUCCGCAAUGGGCGAAAGCAUGACGGAGCAACGCCGCGUGAGUGAUGAAGGUCUUCGGAUCGUAAAACUCUGUUAUUAGGGAAGAACAAAUGUGUAAGUAACUAUGCACGUCUUGACGGUACCUAAUCAGAAAGCCACGGCUAACUACGUG
rnacentral:rRNA from 1 species